rnacentral:lncRNA from 1 species
AAAUUUAAUCCAGUUUAGAGUCUUUCUACUUAAACUCAUUCAGUAUCUGACUAAUUAAAAUGUAGUUUAUAUGGGCUUAUUACUAUUAUAUUAAAAUGUUCCUAAUACUAUAACGCAAAUGCAAUUUAUUUUUGUUUAGGGAUCAAGGUCGACUCUCAAUUUCUUAAGCAAAUGACUAAAUGGAGUCAUGAAAAUUCAGAUGUCAACACCCAUCCACCAAUUAUAGGGCCAUACACGCCUAAUUCAAAUCUUACGAACCUUAGUACACAAACAUCAUUUUUCUCUCCUCUUAUACCCUUAGUUGCCUCAUGCCUGACAGCCGCCCCUCCCGCAUCGGUCCCCCGCCCCACUCGAAAUCACCUCCGUUACACUCGAGCUCGGCCCCCUGCCAGGCCACACUGAAGUUCGCUGCUUUUGCCACCAUCAUUUCCCCGUCUUUUAGCGCCUCCGUGGUAGUUGAGAUUUUGACGUCACCGUUGAUUCUUAUAGUCAUGGAGCCCUCGGCACCUCCAUGGAGGUCGACCCUCUAUGUAUGAAUUCAUUGGCCCCUUGCCGGCCUCAGGAAGCUUGACAUGGCUUCGAGCCCCGCCAUCAAUAAAGAGCUGGAUGCCAUCAUUGAGGACGGGUGGGGGGUGGUGUGGCGGGUGUGCUUGCUAGGGAUGAAGCCGAGAAGUGGAUCGACGGUGGAGUGGCAACAAGGGCACCUGUGGAGGUGGACGAUGGCAAGGGCGGCCCAGCCUGCGGCAGCUAACAUGGCGAGCAUAGGUUGAGUAACAAAUGUACUAUCGUAGUAAAAGCGGACCUACGUCCCUCUCAUGCAUGCUGCUCCCCAUGUGGAUUCAACAACCAAUGCCAUCCGGCCCACAAGGCAGAUCAUUGCUAUAACACAUCAUGUGAUACCGUUUGACUAUCCUUACUUCAAAUAAAGUCUCAAUUUAGAAAAUAAUGCAGGUCCCUUGAUUUAGUACAUACACUACUCAUUGUUGGGGACCGUUUCACUAAGAUUUUCUUCAUGCGAAGGGCCAUCCGAGAGACAUUUUCAUACCAUCUAAAAUGACAUCGUUGAAAUCGGCCAACACGAGAGACUGGAACAAC